GCUAAAAUUGCCCACUUUAUGACCUCUUUGGUCCAUGUAGGCUAUAUUUAUGGUUGCUUUCAGUAGUUCUCUGAUUGAAAGCAAGGAUCGUUCAUGUUUAUAAUAUUUAUAUGAACAACAAAGCACACAGACACUCACAUGAUGUCCAUUUUAUUAUCAAUUUAAAUGACGCAUAAAAUUACAAUUUAAAAGAGUAACUAUGAGGAACGGCACAUACUGUAAUGCAGAUCUCUGCUUUAAAGGUUUGAGCUUUGAUAUAUUUCCAAUACAGAAUGAUAAAAGACCACAUGACGAGUUGUUUGGAUUAUUAUAAUGUUUAGUAUUUUGUUUACUUCAGAAGCGAUUAUCCUUAAAAGUUAGUCGAUAGUUGAGUUUUCUUUCAGGUGCAGGAUUCAUAUAAAAGCAGAGGUCUGUAGAAUGUCCUCGUUUAGGCAGCGAGGCGUGUGUGUGUGUGUGUGUGUGCGUGCGUGCGUGUGAUCGCUGGGUGGAGCAGCAGUGUAAGGCAGGUCUCGUCUCUCAUUGCGGCGGCUGGAGAUCCAUCGAGCGGCGGCGGAACGUCGCUCCGGCGUCCGUGUGCGUGAAGAGCAGGUGGAGGAGGAUGAUGAUGAUGAUGAUGGAGGAAUCCGACAGCAUCCCCUGCACCGCGGAGGACGGACUCCUGUCGAGCUGGAGAUGGAACAGAACCGCCAGGGAUCAGGUCCAGAUCAAGCAGAAGAUCCGAGAUCUGCCCGGAUUGUUAAAGCACGGACUCAACCUGCGCAAAAAGAGCCAGUCACCUGACACCAUCCCAGGACCCAGCACAGGGGUCACACCCAAACCCAAGACGUGUUCUCAGAGUUUUCCCUGCGCUGGUCGUGCGUUGAGAAAUGCCUUUCUGUCUCAUGGACCGUAUCCAGCAAAAGACAAGAUCCACCUCGCCAGGAUUAUCAGGUGAGAGAUCUACUUUUUUGCAUUUGCUAGCCGCUUCAUUCAAAGCUUCUUCAAGCUACAGCUUUCUUUUAAGAAAUUGAUACUUUUAGUCGACAAGGACGCAUUCAAAUGGUCAAAAGUGGCAGUAAAGACAUUUAUAAUGUUACAAAAGAUUCUAUUUUGAAUAAAUGCUGAUCUUUUGAACUUUUUAUAUCCAUCAAAGGAUCCUAAAAAAUAAAAUGUGUCAUGGUUUCCACAAAAAUAUUGGGCAGCACAACUGUUUUUAACAUUUAUAAUAAUCAGAAAUGUUAAAAUCAGCAUAUUAGACUGAUUUCUGAAGAUCAUGUGACACUGAAGACUGGCGUAAUGAUGCUGAAAAUUCAGCUGCGUAUCACAGAAAUAAAUUACAUUUUAACAGAUAUUCACAUAGAAAACACUUGUUUGAAAUAGUAAUAAUAUUUUGUAAUUUUGCAGUUUUUACUAUAUUUUUAAUCAAAUAAAUGCAGCCUUGGUGAGCAGAAGAGUCUUCUUUCAGAAAUGUGUGUGUUCUCUGGCAAUUGAAUCCAUGAACUUGGCAUUUCUAGCGUCAGGCUGUCAUACAUGUUGUACUGUGGUUGUGUGAUUAUAACUCUUACAAUCACAGGAUCAGUGUAAGAGAGGUUAAAGCGUGUUUUAGUGUCGUGUGUGUGUGUGUGUGUGUGUGUGUGUGUGUGUGUGUGUGUGUGUGUGUGGUCGGUUGGCUGACUCAUCAGCUGUCUGUUAUCGCUGUGACUGAUGGCCGCUGUCCAAACUUCACUCCGAUUGGAUAAAAACAUCCCGUCAGAUGGUGGAGUGUGAACGUGUGACAGCAAAAACAGAAUCAGAGAGCUUUGCAUGUUUUAACGAAUGCACACAUGCACUCGAUGAAAAUGAGCAGCUUAAUGACUUUAAAAUGCAAAUCAGUGACAGCAUGAUAAUGUUACACAGCAUUUCAUAUUAAAGCAAAUGCAAUUUGAGUGUUACUGCCAUUUCAACACUUUUACAUCUUUUUAAUUUCAUUCUUGGUCUUACUGUGAAUUAUUCAUUAGUGCAUGUUAUUCUAAAUAAAUUGCAUUUAGUAUAUUGUUUUUAUUGAAAAAUAGAGAUCACUUUUCA
rnacentral:lncRNA from 12 species